GAAAAAUAUAAUUAGUAAUGCAUGACUUUUAUACACUGUUUUUCAUGUGGCAGGUUUUACAAAGGAAGCAGACACAGAGAUAAAAAAUUCAUGGUUGAGGGCAGAAAUGGAAGAGCUCACAUCUCCACUUUCUCAGUCUGAUACAAUAUCCACAGGAGCUUGCUGCCUGACAAAUCAGUUAGAGAAUGGUGGAGCCCAGAAGCCCCAGCCAAAAACUGGAAUCUAUUUUCUUCUGUGGUACAAUGUAAACAGCUUGCAUACCGGAAAAAAAAAAAGAGAACAAUAUUUGUGAAAGCUCUGAUCCUGUUUAUACAUAUACAUAUACUGCCAGAGGAGAUAACACUCUUCUGAUAAAAGGCCUGCAUUUUGCAUCUCUUUAUUUGAUCACAUUCUCCAGGGGUAAGUGUUUCUUCUUCACCUAACACAUGCUGCUUCUUUGUGAAUGAGAAGAGGACAGAAAAGUAGCAAGGAAGAAAUACACAGAAAACAGGCCUCAGAGAGCUACAGACAACUUUCCAAGGAGGGUUCUGAGAGAGAGGUGCAGGGGACUGCAAGUCUUCAAAGCCCAUGGUCUGUGGUCCAAGAGCCAAAAACAGUCACAAACUUUUCAACCGUUUGGAUGAAAAACUACAGCUCAUCUUGCUACUGCUUAUUCUUCAACAAGAAAAAGAAGGUAACAUCUAUGAAUAAUACAUUCUUUGGCUGACCUUGUCUUCAUCCCGAAUUGAGGAGCUUUUUGACUGAUUGGCCACCAUUUCUGUUUUUGAAUUUGACAGUGUCUUACAAAUGUGUCAAGUUAGGGCAGAGACAUAGCCCAAAUCAAGAGUAUCUCCAGGUAGAAUCUUCUGUUUUGAGGACCUAAGUUUUCAAAAGUUAAAAUGCAAUGAUCUCUGAGUACUGCUUGGAUGCCAUUUUGUGAUAGCUUUAUAAAAGUAUGACUCAGAGCAUGUAAUUAAUCCCUACAGCAUCUCACUCUUUGACAAGUUUUGCAACAAAUGGGACUUCACAAUAAUGGUGAAAUAAUUUUAUUUCCAAAAUGGCAGAAUGAAUUCAGCUGCAACAGUUCUGCUGGGGCUAUAGCAACGUAUUUAUUUCUUUACUUAGGAAAAAAAUCCAGUAAAGAUGGAUGUCUUCCACUUCAAAGCAAGGAAAGAAUUGUGAGACCCAACAAUGUAUAUGUAUAUGUGUAUGUGUACGAAUAAAGUUUAUUACAGACUUCUCUGGGUAAAUUUC
rnacentral:lncRNA from 1 species